CUACGGGACGCACCAGUGAGGAAUUUUGCGCAAUGGGCGAAAGCCUGACGCAGCAACGCCGCGUGAGUGACGAAGGCCUUCGGGUCGUAAAGCUCUGUCAAGCGGGAAGAACCCGCGGACGUCCAACAAGCGUCCGCGCUGACGGUACCGCUGAAGGAAGCACCGGCUAACUCCGUGCCAGCAGCCGCGGUAAUACGGAGGGUGCGAGCGUUAUUCGGAAUUAUUGGGCGUAAAGGGCGCGCAGGCGGCCCUGAAAGUCAGAUGUGAAAGCCCGGGGCUCAACCCCGGAAGUGCAUUUGAUACUGAAGGGCUUGAGUAUGGGAGAGGGAAGUGGAAUUCCUGGUGUAGAGGUGAAAUUCGUAGAUAUCAGGAGGAACACCGGUGGCGAAGGCGACUUCCUGGACCAAUACUGACGCUGAGGCGCGAAGGCGUGGGGAGCAAACAGGAUUAGAUACCCUCGUAGUC
rnacentral:rRNA from 1 species